CUACGUGCCAGCAGCCGCGGUAAUACGGAAGGUCCGGGCGUUAUCCGGAUUUAUUGGGUUUAAAGGGAGCGUAGGCUGGAGAUUAAGUGUGUUGUGAAAUGUAGACGCUCAACGUCUGACUUGCAGCGCAUACUGGUUUCCUUGAGUACGCACAACGUUGGCGGAAUUCGUCGUGUAGCGGUGAAAUGCUUAGAUAUGACGAAGAACUCCGAUUGCGAAGGCAGCUGACGGGAGCACAACUGACGCUGAAGCUCGAAGGUGCGGGUAUCAAACAGGAUUAGAUACCCUGGUAGUCCGCACAGUAAACGAUGGAUGCCCGUUGUUAGUUCACCUAAGAAUUAGCGACCAAGCGAAAGCAUUAAGCAUCCCACCUGGGGAGUACGCCGGCAACGGUGAAACUCAAAGGAAUUGACGGGGGCCCGCACAAGCGGAGGAACAUGUGGUUUAAUUCGAUGAUACGCGAGGAACCUUACCCGGGCU
rnacentral:rRNA from 1 species